rnacentral:lncRNA from 1 species
CUUUCAUCUUAUGGGAAGAUGAAUAAUAAGAGGACCCUUGUGAAGGUCCAUAUACGCAAGGUUGAAAGAACUGUAUCGCCGGAGCUGUUUACUGCUUCUGGCUUUUCGUUUGCUCAUGCCACAAUUUUCCCAGGAAAUAUGCAUGAAACCAGCUGCAGGUCUAGUGAAAAUCAAGCAAAUUGCAACACAAGGCGUACAACAGAACACCAAAAUGACUGAAAAUUAGAGCAUGGCCCAAAGGCAUACAUCAGGAACAGGAAAGAUUAAAUUUACAACAACAUCAGCCAGCUGAUGAAGCUGGACGACCAAACACAUCAGGAAUGCUACGUAGAGAAACAAAACCCCCAUACACAUAUGCUCAUAUUUUAUUGGCAACCUAACAGGCAGUAAAGCACUUAAUUUAAGACAAAGGGAAGUGAUUUUCAAACACGUUUUUUUUUUUUUCCUCACACCC